rnacentral:rRNA from 1 species
GGAAUACGUGGGAAUCUGCCCCAGUCGUGGGGGAUAACGUAGGGAAACUUACGCUAAUACCGCAUGCGCCCUUCGGGGGAAAGCCGGGGACCUUCGGGCCUGGCGCGAUUGGAUGAGCCCACGUCGGAUUAGCUAGUUGGCGGGGUAAAGGCCCACCAAGGGCGACGAUCCGUAGCUGGGUCUGAGAGGAUGAAUCAGCCACACUGGAACUGAGACACGGUCCAGACUCCUACGGGAGGCAGCAGUAGGGAAUAUUUGGACAAUGGGCGCAAGCCUGAUCCAGCCAUGCCGCGUGAGUGAAGAAGGCCCUCGGGUUGUAAAGCUCUUUUGUCCGGAAAGAAAAGCGCCGGGUUAAUACCCUGGUGUCCUGACGGUACCGGAAGAAUAAGCACCGGCUAACUUCGUG